UUAAAACACCGGUUUCCUUAAGAGCAUCGAAGUUAAGUAACGUCGAUCCUGGUUAGUAGUUAGAUGAGUGACCGUUUGGAAAUACCAGGUGCUGUAA